UGGAGGGCCCCACAGACCCAGACAUCCCCUAAGGGUCUGGGGCCGUCUUGAUCGGAGAUCCUCGGUACCCGUUCACACAGCAGGAAGCAUGGUCACCAGGAGGACCAGGGCUUCUCCCCGGGACAGCCUUCUCGCCUGCCCCCAGGUGGCUGUGGCGGGGUACUGCAAGGUCCUCAGUACUGUCGAGUAGAUGAGCAAUCCGGAGCCUCAAGGUUAUUUACUCUGCAUCCCAGAGGCGGUUUUGCAGAGGGAGAAGCUUGCACGAAGCCAUCAGCCAGCUCAUCCCUGUCACCCAAACCCAACUGAGCCCAGGUCUCAUCUCUCUCCAGCCCACCACAUCUCAUCCCACGCUCAGGAGAAAGGCUCUCAGCCACGAACCCAUCUUUCCACUCCCCUGCACCCGGGUCAGCAGGGCCGUGUUAAAGAAUAACAAAUCGGGGCUGGAGAGAUGGCUCAGUAGUUAAGAGCACUGUCUGCUCUUCCAAAGGUUAUGAGUUCAAUUCCCAGCAACCACAUGGUGGCUCACAACCAUCUGUAAUGUGAACUGAUUCCCUCUUCUGGCAGAUGUAAAUGUAGACUGAACACUCAUAUACAUGAAAUAAAUAAAUCUAAAAAAAAAAAAAAAAAAAAAAAAAAAGAAUAACAAA